AAAUGCAAUCCAGGAAAAACAAAGUUCCUCCAAAACAUCUGGUUAAACCCAUGUAUCCAUUUCAAAGGAUUCAAAUCAACCACAUCCAGAUGCCAAAGAGUGGUCACUAUGAAUAUGCACUAGUGAGUGGACAUGUUCUCAAGCUGGCCAGAAGCCUAUCCAGUAGUCAACAUUACCGCCAAGACAACAGCAAAACGUCUACUCACAGAAAUUAUCCUGAUUCUGAUACGGGCAACCAGUCUGCUUCCUGGUGAUUGGGUCCUAGUCAAGAAAUUUGUGCGUAAACACACCCUGGAACCAAGAUUUGACGGACCAUUCCAAGUUCUACUGAUCACCUCCAC